rnacentral:rRNA from 1 species
UGAGGAAUAUUGGUCAAUGGGCGCGAGCCUGAACCAGCCAAGUAGCGUGAAGGAUGACUGCCCUACGGGUUGUAAACUUCUUUUAUAAAGGAAUAAAGUGAGGCACGUGUGCCUUUUUGUAUGUACCAUAUGAAUAAGGAUCGGCUAACUCCGUGCCAGCAGCCGCGGUAAUACGGAGGAUCCGAGCGUUAUCCGGAUUUAUUGGGUUUAAAGGGAGCGUAGGUGGACAGUUAAGUCAGUUGUGAAAGUUUGCGGCUCAACCGUAAAAUUGCAGUUGAUACUGGCUGUCUUGAGUACAGUAGAGGUGGGCGGAAUUCGUGGUGUAGCGGUGAAAUGCUUAGAUAUCACGAAGAACUCCGAUUGCGAAGGCAGCUCACUGGACUGCAACUGACACUGAUGCUCGAAAGUGUGGGUAUCAAACAGG